GAUCCUGGCUCAGGAUGAACGCUAGCGGCAGGCUUAACACAUGCAAGUCGAGGGGCAGCGGGAUGUAGCAAUACAUUGCCGGCGACCGGCGGAUGGGUGCGUAACGCGUAUGCAACCUACCUUAUACAGGGGAAUAACCUUUCGAAAGGGAGACUAACACCCCAUAGUAUUGAUUUAAGGCAUCUUAGAUUAAUUAAAUAUUUAUAGGUAUAAGAUGGGCAUGCGUAUGAUUAGCUAGUUGGUAAGGUAACGGCUUACCAAGGCGACGAUCAUUAGGGGUUCUGAGAGGAAGGUCCCCCACACUGGUACUGAGACACGGACCAGACUCCUACGGGAGGCAGCAGUGAGGAAUAUUGGUCAAUGGGCGCAAGCCUGAACCAGCCAUGCCGCGUGCCAGGAAGACGGCCUUAUGGGUUGUAAACUGCUUUACAUAAGACUAACCGUAUAUUUGCGAAUAUACCUGAAUGUAUUAUGAGAAUAAGGAUCGGCUAACUCCGUGCCAGCCGCUGC
rnacentral:rRNA from 1 species